rnacentral:tRNA from 1 species
ACUGUUUUGGCAGAGUUAGUGCAUUAAAUUUAGGAUUUAAUUAGAUGAAUAUAUAAUCAUAUGCAGUA